UCAAAUUGCAUUGGAGGAAGUGGCGGACGC
rnacentral:sRNA from 1 species